GACGAACGCUGGCGGCGUGCUUAACACAUGCAAGUCGAACGGAAAGGCCCCUUCUGGGGUACUCGAGUGGCGCACGGGUGAGUAACACGUGAGUAACCUGCCCUUGACUUCGGGAUAACUUCAGGAAACUGGGGCUAAUACCGGAUAGGAAUCCUUGCUGCAUGGUGGGGGUUGGAAAGCUUCGGCGGUUUUGGAUGGACUCGCGGCUUAUCAGCUUGUUGGUGGGGUAGUGGCUUACCAAGGCUUUGACGGGUAGCCGGCCUGAGAGGGCGACCGGCCACAUUGGGACUGAGAUGCGGCCCAGACUCCGACGGGAGGCAGCAGUGGGGAAUAUUGCACAAUGGGCGGAAGCCUGAUGCAGCAACGCCGCGUGCGGGAUGACGGCCUUCGGGUUGUAAACCGCUUUCAGCAGGGGCGAAGCUUGUGGUGACGGUACCUGCAGAAGAAGCACCGGCUAACUACGUG
rnacentral:rRNA from 1 species